rnacentral:rRNA from 1 species
AACUAACGCUGGCGGCGUGCCUAACACAUGCAAGUCGUACGAGAAAGCCGGCUUCGGCUGGUGAGUAAAGUGGCGCACGGGUGAGUAACGCGUGGAUAAUCUGCCCUUAAGUGUGGAAUAACGUACCGAAAGGUGCGCUAAUACCGCAUAAUGCCUGGCAACACAAGUUGUCCGGCCAAAGAAGGCCUCUGUUUACAAGCUUUCGCUUCAGGAUGAGUCCGCGUACCAUUAGCUUGUUGGUGGGGUAAUGGCCUACCAAGGCUGCGAUGGUUAGCUGGUCUGAGAGGAUGAUCAGCCACACUGGGACUGAGACACGGCCCAGACUCCUACGGGAGGCAGCAGUGGGGAAUAUUGGACAAUGGGCGCAAGCCUGAUCCAGCAAUGCCGCGUGUGUGAAGAAGGCCUGCGGGUUGUAAAGCACUUUUGUUCGGAGAAAUCAUGCUGGUUAAUACCUGGUAUGGAUGACGGUACCGAAAGAAUAAGCACC